rnacentral:rRNA from 1 species
GGGCCCGCACAAGCGGUGGAGCAUGUGGUUUAAUUCGAUGAUACGCGAGGAACCUUACCAGGGCUUAAAUGUAGUUUGACCGGUCUGGAAACAGACUUUCUCUUCGGAGCAGAUUACAAGGUGCUGCAUGGUUGUCGUCAGCUCGUGCCGUGAGGUGUUAGGUUAAGUCCUGCAACGAGCGCAACCCCUAUUCUUAGUUGCCAGCGGUUCGGCCGGGGACUCUAAGAAGACUGCCAGCGCAAGCUGAGAGGAAGGUGGGGAUGACGUCAAAUCAUCACGGCCCUUACGUCCUGGGCUACACACGUGCUACAAUGGUAGAGACAGAGGGCAGCCACCUGGUGACAGGGAGCGAAUCCUUUAAACCUAUCUCAGUUCGGAUCGAAGUCUGCAACUCGACUUCGUGAAGCUAGGAAUCGCUAG